rnacentral:rRNA from 1 species
GAUGAACGCUGGCGGCGUGCCUAAUACAUGCAAGUCGAGCGAACAGAUAAGGAGCUUGCUCCUUUGACGUUAGCGGCGGACGGGUGAGUAACACGUGGGUAACCUACCUAUAAGACUGGAAUAACUCCGGGAAACCGGGGCUAAUGCCGGAUAACAUUUAGAACCGCAUGGUUCUAAAGUGAAAGAUGGUUUUGCUAUCACUUAUAGAUGGACCCGCGUCGUAUUAGCUAGUUGGUAAGGUAACGGCUUACCAAGGCAACGAUACGUAGCCGACCUGAGAGGGUGAUCAGCCACACUGGAACUGAGACACGGUCCAGACUCCUACGGGAGGCAGCAGUAGGGAAUCUUCGGCAAUGGGCGAAAGCCUGACGGAGCAACGCCGCGUGAGUGAUGAAGGUCUUCGGAUCGUAAAACUCUGUUAUUAGGGAAGAACAAAUGUGUAAGUAACUGUGCACGUCUUGACGGUACCUAAUCAGAAAGCCACGGCUAACUACGUG